rnacentral:rRNA from 1 species
CCUAUGGGAGGCAGCAGUGAGGAAUAUUGGUCAAUGGGCGCGAGCCUGAACCAGCCAAGUAGCGUGAAGGAUGACUGCCCUACGGGUUGUAAACUUCUUUUAUAAAGGAAUAAAGUGAGGCCCGUGUGCCUUUUUUUAUGUCCUUUAUGAAUAAGGAUCGGCUAACUCCGUGCCAGCAGCCGCGGUAAUACGGAGGAUCCGAGCGUUAUCCGGAUUUAUUGGGUUUAAAGGGAGCGUAGAUGGGUUGUUAAGUCAGUUGUGAAAGUUUGCGGCUCAACCGUAAAAUUGCAAUUGAUACUGGCAGUCUUGAGUACAGUUGAGGUAGGCGGAAUUCGUGGUGUAGCGGUGAAAUGCUUAGAUAUCACGAAGAACUCCGAUUGCGAAGGCAGCUUACUAAACUGCCACUGACAUUGAUGCUCGAAAGUGUGGGUAUCAAACAGGAUUAGAUACCCCAGUAGUC